GGCCUGGUGGCAGAUGGUCCACGCCCACCGAUAAUGAGUGUCUUGGCAGGAAAUAUACCAGUGGGAGUCCCUCGUUCGAAUCGGGGUCAGGCCG